GGGUUGUGAGGUUAAGCGACUAAGCGUACACGGUGGAUGCCCUGGCAGUCAGAGGCGAUGAAGGACGUGCUAAUCUGCGAAAAGCGCCGGCGAGGUGAUAUGAACCCUUGACCCGGCGAUGUCCGAAUGGGGAAACCCAGUGUGAUUCGUCACACUAUCGUUAACUGAAUACAUAGGUUAACGAGGCGAACCGGGGGAACUGAAACAUCUAAGUACCCCGAGGAAAAGAAAUCAACCGAGAUUCCCCCAGUAGCGGCGAGCGAACGGGGAGCAGCCCGGAGUCUGAAUCAGCUUGUGUGUUAGUGGAACGGUCUGGAAAGUCCGACGGUACAGGGUGAUAGUCCCGUACACGAAAGCACACUUGCUGUGAACUCGAAGAGUAGGGCGGGACACGUGGUAUCCUGUCUGAAUAUGGGGGGACCAUCCUCCAAGGCUAAAUACUCCUGACUGACCGAUAGUGAACCAGUACCGUGAGGGAAAGGCGAAAAGAACCCCGGCGAGGGGAGUGAAAAAGAACCUGAAACCGUGUACGUACAAGCAGUGGGAGCACCUUCGUGGUGUGACUGCGUACCUUUUGUAUAAUGGGUCAGCGACUUAUAUUCUGUAGCAAGGUUAACCGUAUAGGGGAGCCGAAGGGAAACCGAGUCUUAACUGGGCGUUAAGUUGCAGGGUAUAGACCCGAAACCCGGUGAUCUAGCCAUGGGCAGGUUGAAGGUUGGGUAACACUAACUGGAGGACCGAACCGACUAAUGUUGAAAAAUUAGCGGAUGACCUGUGGCUGGGGGUGAAAGGCCAAUCAAACCGGGAGAUAGCUGGUUCUCCCCGAAAGCUAUUUAGGUAGCGCCUCGUGAACUCAUCUUCGGGGGUAGAGCACUGUUUCGGCUAGGGGGCCAUCCCGGCUUACCAACCCGAUGCAAACUACGAAUACCGAAGAAUGUUAUCACGGGAGACACACGGCGGGUGCUAACGUCCGUCGUGAAGAGGGAAACAACCCAGACCGCCAGCUAAGGUCCCAAAGUCAUGGUUAAGUGGGAAACGAUGUGGGAAGGCACAGACAGCCAGGAUGUUGGCUUAGAAGCAGCCAUCAUUUAAAGAAAGCGUAAUAGCUCACUGGUCGAGUCGGCCUGCGCGGAAGAUGUAACGGGGCUAAACCAUGCACCGAAGCUGCGGCAGCGACACUAUGUGUUGUUGGGUAGGGGAGCGUUCUGUAAGCCGUUGAAGGUGUGCUGUGAGGCAUGCUGGAGGUAUCAGAAGUGCGAAUGCUGACAUAAGUAACGAUAAAGCGGGUGAAAAGCCCGCUCGCCGGAAGACCAAGGGUUCCUGUCCAACGUUAAUCGGGGCAGGGUGAGUCGACCCCUAAGGCGAGGCCGAAAGGCGUAGUCGAUGGGAAACAGGUUAAUAUUCCUGUACUUGGUGUUACUGCGAAGGGGGGACGGAGAAGGCUAUGUCAGCCGGGCGACGGUUGUCCCGGUUUAAGCAUGUAGGCGGAGGUUCCAGGUAAAUCCGGUACCUUAUUAACGCUGAGGUGUGAUGACGAGGCACUACGGUGCUGAAGUGAUAAAUGCCCUGCUUCCAGGAAAAGCCUCUAAGCAUCAGGUAACACGAAAUCGUACCCCAAACCGACACAGGUGGUCAGGUAGAGAAUACCAAGGCGCUUGAGAGAACUCGGGUGAAGGAACUAGGCAAAAUGGUGCCGUAACUUCGGGAGAAGGCACGCUGAUGUGUAGGUGAAGCCCCUGCGGGCGGAGCUGAAAUCAGUCGAAGAUACCAGCUGGCUGCAACUGUUUAUUAAAAACACAGCACUGUGCAAACACGAAAGUGGACGUAUACGGUGUGACGCCUGCCCGGUGCCGGAAGGUUAAUUGAUGGGGUUAGCUGUAAGGCGAAGCUCUUGAUCGAAGCCCCGGUAAACGGCGGCCGUAACUAUAACGGUCCUAAGGUAGCGAAAUUCCUUGUCGGGUAAGUUCCGACCUGCACGAAUGGCGUAAUGAUGGCCAGGCUGUCUCCACCCGAGACUCAGUGAAAUUGAACUCGCUGUGAAGAUGCAGUGUACCCGCGGCAAGACGGAAAGACCCCGUGAACCUUUACUAUAGCUUGACACUGAACACUGGUCCUUGAUGUGUAGGAUAGGUGGGAGGCUUUGAAGCGUGGACGCCAGUCUGCGUGGAGCCGCCCUUGAAAUACCACCCUUUAAUGGCUGGUGUUCUAACGUAGACCCGUAAUCCGGGUUGCGGACAGUGUCUGGUGGGUAGUUUGACUGGGGCGGUCUCCUCCCAAAGAGUAACGGAGGAGCACGAAGGUUGGCUAAUCCUGGUCGGACAUCAGGAGGUUAGUGCAAUGGCAUAAGCCAGCUUGACUGCGAGCGUGACGGCGCGAGCAGGUGCGAAAGCAGGUCAUAGUGAUCCGGUGGUUCUGAAUGGAAGGGCCAUCGCUCAACGGAUAAAAGGUACUCCGGGGAUAACAGGCUGAUACCGCCCAAGAGUUCAUAUCGACGGCGGUGUUUGGCACCUCGAUGUCGGCUCAUCACAUCCUGGGGCUGAAGUAGGUCCCAAGGGUAUGGCUGUUCGCCAUUUAAAGUGGUACGCGAGCUGGGUUUAGAACGUCGUGAGACAGUUCGGUCCCUAUCUGCCGUGGGCGCUGGAGAAUUGAGGGGGGCUGCUCCUAGUACGAGAGGACCGGAGUGGACGCAUCACUGGUGUUCGGGUUGUCAUGCCAAUGGCACUGCCCGGUAGCUAAAUGCGGAAGAGAUAAGUGCUGAAAGCAUCUAAGCACGAAACUUGCCCCGAGAUGAGUUCUCCCUGAGACUUUAAGUCUCCUGAAGGAACGUUAAAGACUAUGACGUUGAUAGGUCGGGUGUGUAAGCGCAGCGAUGCGUUGAGCUAACCGAUACUAAUGAACCGUGAGGCUUAACCUUACAACGCCGAAGGUGUUU
rnacentral:rRNA from 4 species